rnacentral:rRNA from 1 species
GACGAACGCUGGCGGCGUGCUUAACACAUGCGAGUCGAACGGAAAGGCCCUGCUUUUGUGGGGUGCUCGAGUGGCGAACGGGUGAGUAACACGUGAGUAACCUGCCCUUGACUUUGGGAUAACUUCAGGAAACUGGGGCUAAUACCGGAUAGGAGCUCCUGCUGCAUGGUGGGGGUUGGAAAGUUUCGGCGGUUGGGGAUGGACUGGCGGCUCAUCAGCUUGUUGGUGGGGUAGUGGCUUACCAAGGCUUUGACGGGUAGCCGGCCUGAGAGGGUGACCGGCCACAUUGGGACUGAGAUGCGGCCCAGACUCCUACGGGAGGCAGCAGUGGAGAAUAUUGCGCAAUGGGCGGAAGCCGGAUGCAGCAACGCCGCGUGCGGGAUGACGGCCUUCGGGUUAUAAACCGCUUUCGCCUGUGACGAAGCGUGAGUGACGGUAAUGGGUAAAGAAGCAACGGCUAACUACGUG